UACGAAGGGGGCUAGCGUUGCUCGGAAUUACUGGGCGUAAAGCGCACGUAGGCGGCUUUCUAAGUCGGGGGUGAAAUCCUGGAGCUCAACUCCAGAACUGCCUUCGAUACUGGAAAGCUCGAGUCCGGGAGAGGUGAGUGGAACUGCGAGUGUAGAGGUGAAAUUCGUAGAUAUUCGCAAGAACACCAGUGGCGAAGGCGGCUCACUGGCCCGUAACUGACGCUGAGGCACGAAAGCGUGGGGAGCAAACAGGG
rnacentral:rRNA from 1 species